AACGCACGAGACCUGCGGACCUGCGGAGGGAUCAUUAAUGAGAAGCUGCCCCUCGUGGGUAGACCUCCCACCCUCUGUGAACUUACCUUUGUUGCUUUGGCAGGCCCGUCCCCUGGACCGCCGGCUUCGGCUGGCCCGUGCCUGCCAGAGGAUUCCAAACCCUGUCUGUCAGUGUUGUCUGAGUCUAUAUGAAAUCGUUAAAACUUUUAACAACGGAUCUCUAGAUCGGAAGAGCACACG
rnacentral:misc_RNA from 1 species